UGAAUUUGAUGGUCAGCACCACCUAUAAAUAAAUAAAUGAAACAAAAGUCCAUCAACAACUAAAAAAAAUUAAAAACAAAAAGAAUAGAAUUGGCUUGGGUGGAGAUGAAAAAAUAAGGAUGGAAUUGCAAAUUGAGUGUGCAUGUCAGUGCUUCUGCAUGUUCACCUAGCAAAGCAGGUUAACCUCCUACUUUAUUUUUGAAUGGUUAGUAAGUUUCCAAGUCAAUUUCCAAUGAAAGUGGGAAAAAGAAGACUAUGACUCAGAUCACUAUAUUUUAAAGGACAUUCCUAGCAGGCAAGGGACCAUCUUAGGAACAUGACACAAAUUAGCUUUGUGACCCUGGGCAAGUCCCUUUGCCUUCCUGCAUGUCUCUAAGAUGGAACCAUGCAUGAUAAUGGUGUCUUUCCAGCAUUGACUGGCAGAUUUAGCUGGCUAUCCCAAGUUUCCUCUCUUUUUCCACUGCUCCCUGUAUAUCCCCUCAAGCCUGUGUAUUUAUUUCAAGAGGACAGCAAUUCCAGGUGGGGUACAUUCUUAUAACAAUGGCUUACAGAAAUGUCUCAAAUAUCACAUCUAGCUCUAACAUUUGACUCUGUAAAUCCCAAAUUAGAAUGAUUGGUGUCAUUGGAAGAAAUGAGAAAUGGCAAAAAUAGAUUGCUCUAGCGUCUAAUAAUGACCUAAACUGCAGUUCAAAAUAGACCUAAAAAACCAUCAAAAAUUUUAAGUGAGGCUUUAAGAUAGAUUUGUACUAAGAAUAUAAUGUUUACUAAAUAU
rnacentral:lncRNA from 1 species